rnacentral:lncRNA from 1 species
UCUCAUUCUUAAUCUUUUCUCCAGUUCUCUUUAUUCUUGUUUCAAAUUAAGAAUCCAAAUUCUCAAAGGUAUCGGGCUUCUUAAAUAUGGGGUUUCUUAACUGCAAUUCUCUAUUUUUUCUUGCAAAAGAUUGGAUUAAUCUCACAAAUCUUAACUCUCAAGACAUCGUCCAGGUUAGUUUCAUUUUUUUUUCAUUUAUUUGUUUAUUACUUGGCGUUUGAUAGAUUGUAUGAUUCUUGAGGUCUGCAAUUUUUGGUAGUUUUAUUUUUAUUGUUCGAUUUUUCUUUGAAGAGCAAUUUGUCUAUUUCAGUUUUUUUUUCUUUUUCUUUUGUGGGUAAGAAUUUGAAUGCCAUGAGAGAAAACCAGUGCAGAAAGCUAAUUUACUUGAUCAACUAUUAUGUCACAAAACUCAGGAUUCAAUUCCUAUUUUUGGUAUUGUAUGUGUACUUCACUUUUGUUGAUUAUGUACUGGAAAAUUCUUGAAGUACUUUGCACUAAAAUAUAUAAUUUAUUUUGGCUGCUCUUAUCCAUUAGGAAUACUCAAGAACAUAAUCUUUAUACUAGGCCGACAAACGAUGUUAGGGACACUAUUUAGUGGAUUUUCCAAAAUAUUGCAACAGGCUACACUUGCAAUUUUUGUGCCUAUUCCAGAGCAUGAUGAUCAAAUUGCGUGGCUUGAAAAUUCUUCAGGGAUGUUUACCGUAAAGGAUGCUAUGAAAACAUUCCGGCCCGAGGUACCGCUGUACAUUGAAGUAGUUUAGUAUGGUAUGAAAAUCACAUUCCUAGACAUGUUUUUAUAUUGUGUUUGGUAUGUAACAAAGACUUAGUACGCUGGAUUAGAGGAAAUGCGGUGUUCUCAGUUGGGGAAAAAUUCCUAGAACUCGUGCAAUAUUCAGAUUAAUUGUUCUUAUUCACUGGUUGUAGCAAGAAAAGGGGAGCCUGCAUGUUUGUGAGUUCUCAGAUUGUAAAAAGCCUCCAAAGGAUCCUACAUACAGUUUGCUAUGAUAUUUAUAUUACCUACUACUGUUAGCCUGUUACUUGACAUAGUUGGAUCUUUAAGUGCUUUUAUGUACUCUUUUUCCAGGCAGAAUGUUCUGCGAUACACUUGUUGUAUUCUUCUUCUUCUUCUUCUUUUUUUUUUUUUGUUUUUGUCAAAACAUGUUUAUAGGCUGAGAGGUUAGAUCACUUUCUAUAACACACAAUAAAGAAGUAACUACUAAUUUUGUUGCAAUACAUCGACUACCAAGUUUAUCAAAAAAACAGAAAGUUAUUUGUCAGUGACAAACGGAGAUGAUGCAAACAAAUGUAUGCGUCCGGGAUAUCGUUGUUGCAAAACAGAGGUGCAUGAUAAAAACUACUAAAGAAGCAUGAUAUUAGUCUAAAGAAAAUAAUCGAACUCCUAAACUAGUUAAGAAUUUUGUGACUUCUAUCAUAAUGGAGACACAAAAGUACGUGAAUCUAUUAGAUUUUUCAAUUCCUUUCCGGUUAAAUAGAAAGUUCUGAGUAUUUUGACUUCCGGAAUAAGUUUAUUCUAAUUGUUCUCAUAUUAUAACAUAUUCAUUUGGUAAGCUAGUCUCUAUCUGUUUGUUUCAGAUUUUGACUAUGAAUUAAGGUUGGAUAGGGAGCAAAACCAGUUUGAUUGGUUUUUCUUUUAAAGAGUCUGAUCUCCCUUCCAAGGUAGAUGGAGCAAAGGCAGAGGUCCAAGACCAAGAGAAAGAUGACAAGAGAGAAAAGAUUGAUAGGAACUUAACUCAUCUUCUAUUAAGUGGAUUAAGCUAUUAAUUUUCUAAUAGAUUAGUUGUACUAAUCAAUUACUAUAGCACAUUUGUUGAUUUUUUUGGGCAUACACUAAGAAGCAACACCUUAGUAUUACCAAAAAAAAAAAAGAAGCUUAUAAGAGACUUGUAUUGAAACUGAAAAUGAGCUUAUGCUAUUAAUUCAUCAACUCAUUAUUUAUAGUAAUUACAUGAAAUAAACUAACAAAAUAUCUAACUAACAAUUAUCCUAAAAAAUUUCAACAAAACACUUGAUAACAUAGUCUCCUACUCAACAAAUCUUCUCUAAAAUAUUUGUUAACAAAGCACAUGAUUUUUAGUUAACAAAUAUCCUAACAACAAGAUUUAUUUAACUACUAACUAAAUUAUUCUAAUAUCAAACAUAAUAUAAUAAAAUCUAUAAAAAAAGUUGGCAUAUUUCAACACUUCUUCUUGCCACUUUUGCUGCAGAUUUUGAAUUGCCUUCUCAAAAUUUUGGAUCUUGUCUUGGAGAAAACUUUUAUAAGAAUCUCUGCAACUGAUGAUUAGCCUUGCAAUGAACUUCUUCUUUUGGACUUUCAUACAAGCUAAAGAUUAGUCUUGCAACAAACUCACUUCUUUUGUCUUCUCAUGCCAAAGUCCAAAUAAAAGAUGUUUUUUUAAUUAUUUUUUUAUGUUUCCAAAUAAUCUUCUCAUAGGAUUAAAGUGAAACACCAUUCGACAAUAUUUAAACUUAUAAAAAAAAUAUUAAAUUCUACAUGGUUCUUCAUUUUAUCAUCACCAUCAAAACUUGUAGACUAAAAAACAACAAUAUUAUAAUCAUGAUAAAUAUUAGUAAUCAAUUUGAUACCUCAUAACUUAUCAAUGAUCUCCUGUUGAAUUUUUUCAGGAUCUAAAUUCUUGAUUUCAUCACGUUUUACUUCAAAAUUAUCAAAACCCGACCAAUUCAUAGUGAAACUUUGUCUUUUCAUUUUAAUUGAGAAUAAUUAGUUCUCAAUCAAAUUAUAAGCCAUUAUCCUUGUGAAAACGGCAUCAAAUGAUAUGUGAAUGCUGAUUUUGGAUCUCUAUCUAACUUCAACUCUACGGUCUUUAAUCUGUAUAUCCAUCGGUUUUUCAAAUAUUGACGAUACAAAAUUUGUGUCCACCAUAUCCCAUAGAUUGCUGACUACCAAAUAAGUCCAAAAUUUAAUGGCCUAAAUUUGGUAAGUUUCACCACUAAAAGUUGAAGCAUUUGACAAAAAGUUCUUUCCUAUCAUGGUUUUGAACUUAUAAAGGAUCCUCAUCAAAUGUUCUCACUCUCAAAAAACAACACAGGCAUUAAGACAUAGGCUCUGAUACCACUUUGUUGUUUUUCUUGGGGCAUAAAUUAAGAAAUAACACCUUAGUGUUACAAAAAAAAUUAUAAAAGACUUGUAUUGAAACUGAAAAUAAUCUUAUAUUAUUCAUUUAUCAACUUACUAUUUAUAGUGAUUAUAUGAAACAAGCUGACAAAAUAUCUAACUAACAAUUAUCUUAAAAAAUCUCAACAAAACACUUGAUAACAUAAUCUCCCACUCAACAAAUUUUUGCUAAAAUAUUUGUUAACAAACCAUAUGAUUUUUAGUUAACAAAUAUCCUAACAACAAGAUUUUAUUUAACUACUAACUAAAUUAUUCUAAUAUUAAACAUGGUCUAAUAAAAUCUGUUGAAAAGGUUGGCAUAUGUCAACAACAUUGAUUUGAUUUUGCUUGAGAUUACAGGCAUCAUUAGUUCCAUACUACCAUGUGACACUUGUUUGUACAUUUUUUUUUUUUGUAUCGAAAUGGGACUUCUGCUAACUACUUCUAUUAAAAAGUGAAGCAGGUUUAAAGACCAGAAUUGGUGUGAAAUAAUGUGGGAAUGCAAAUAAAACUAAUUCACGGUUAUGAUAGAGAACAUAAAAGCUAAUAGGCAGUAUAUAUGCUAAACUGAAUUGCAGGAAAGGUAAAAGCGAAUACCAAAGAGUCGAGCGGCCAAAAAAAAAAAAAAAAAAGGACUCCUGCUGCUUUUGGUCAAAAUUUGCUUAACGAUCAAGGAGGUAUGGGACGGUAAAGAAGAAAACAAAAUCAUGUCCUAAUUUAUUAGGACAUGAACUUUCGUCUAUUAUUCUUAACUGCAAGGAGCUGUUGACUACAUUCUAGCCGAAUAUGUUUCUACCAUAACUACAGCGAAGCAAACAAAUGUGCAGACAUCCUAGCAAACUGGGGAAGAAGCAGCACUCAAGACUUCACUUCUUUUGAAUUAUGUCCUAAUUUUGUCCUUCCCUUACUUUUGCAAGACUUAAAGGGUGUUACCACCCCACGGAUGACUGUACUUUAACUUCCACUCUGUAGACUUGGCUUUUACUUUAAUGCAUCUUUAUUUACCAAAAAAAAAAAAUAAAUAAAACAAAAUAGCUUUGGAUUGAAAAUUCUAGCGUUUAAUACUAACAGUGGCACUGGCUUGUAUCUACUUUUAUGCUUACCCAAAAGACUUCUAGUUUCAUGGCCGGAUUUCAUAACUUGUGUCUAGUUACUCCAUAAAUGUACUAUGCAAGUGAUUAAUAUGAUACAACAUAUAUGUAAAAUUUAAAAAUUACAUUACUAACCAUGAAAUUAAAACUAAACUAAGGAAUAUUAUAAGUGGCUUUUAGGAUGGAACAUAUACGCUCAUGAAUUUUAAGUUACUACUCGGACAUACCUGUGGUAUCCUUCAAUAGGAUUUUAUAAUCACUUCAAAAAUUAUAAUUGUCUAACUUAUUUGCUAAGUUUUCCAUAGCUUACAAUUUUUCUUCGUUGUGUUGGAUAUGGUGGGAAUUGAGAGUCCGACAUUGAUUCUGUUGAUGCAGUAUUUUCUUGUUGGUCGACGAAAUCAAAAUCCUUCCUUAUCUCUGACGGAGUUUUUGAGCAUCCACAACUCAUACCAAGGUUAUAAUACCCCGAUGUGUAGUGAUUUCCCAUAUUUGGAUUAAAAUAAGUAGGUGGAGGAUACAUGGGAAUUGGGCAUGAAAAAUUUGGUAGAUUGUGGAAAUUUGAUGGAUAGUUGGAAUUGGAUAAAUUUAGGGGAUAUACAUAAUUUUGCACAUUUGUAGGAAUACCAGAAAAUGGGUAUUUUAGGUAAUUUGAAAAAUUUUGGUGGUUUUGAUUUUGCGAGGAGGAUGAAUUUUCUAUAUUUGGAGCAUUUACAUAUUUGUAAAACUACUAAAAUUCUCAUCCAUAAACAAACUAUUGAAUUUUUGUUAAAAAAUUGUGCAAAGAGGUUGAGGAAAAUGAGUGAGAGAGUAAAAGGAAUAAUAGAGUAGGAUAGUAAGAUAUGAAAGAAAAAGGAAUGUGUUGUGUUUAUAUAGAGAAUUAAAACAUAACCAUUGGAAAAAAAAAAGAACGUUGCUAACUUUUCCUUGCCAAUAUAAAUUUUGUCCGUUGUGACUUCAAAAAAAUUAGAUUUUUAAAAAAAUUGGUCUAAAGGCACUAGUCUACCUGUUACACUAUCAUCAGAAUGAUACGUGUAAUGGAUAUUACACGGGCAUAAUGAAUGACCGUGUAAUGGACCAAUGUCAUGACAGGUAGUACAUGCAUCAUUACACUCCAUUGUGGAUGCCCAUAUACUAACAAAACUGGACCCUCAAAGGCAGCUUUUUGAUGACAAGCACAUGAGAAGUAGAUUUCCUCGAGCAGCCUCUGGAUAGUGCUUGUGGCGGUGCUGGUGCUUUUGACAUUCUGGGCUACAAUGGUGAUGGACUAGGCAAUGUGGAAGAAUAUAUUAUACUGGAAAGAAAUUCACAAAAUAUGGGUGCAGAACUCCUCAAGGGUGUAAAUAUUAUAUUUAUAUCACCCCUGCUUUUACAAUAUAAUUUCUUCUUCCCUAUGCUUUAAUACAUUGACUACUUAACAAAUGUAGAUAUAUUUGCUUAUAAAACUUCUAUCAGUAAGUUUACUUCUUCACGCACAUUCAUCAAUGUCUUAUGAUCACCAGCCUCAAAUGAUUAUAUGGGUUAAACUUUUUAAAAUAUUUAACACCGGCACAACUAUGCAUUGAAAUGAUAAAAUAUUCAAGAGUCUUGGAAGGUGCAACCUAGCCCAAUUAUUACUACUGAUCAGCAAGCUCAACAGUCAAGACUUCUUCCAUUCUUUUGUUCCUAAUUUUUACCUACUUUCCUUCAAUGACCUCUCACACCAAUCAUUCCUCUGUUCAUCAUCUCACCAUUAAUCUCUCAAAUUCCUCCAAUAAAGUUCAGUUUUGUGCCUUAAACCAUAUGCGCAGAGUUUUGUGCCUUAAACCAUAUGUGCAGGUUUGAUUUCUUAAUCUACAAUAGCUUUUGUUUUUAUUAUUUCUACAAUUUACUAAUGUUCUAGUUUGAGAUUUAAAUCUAAUACUGUAUUUGCUUUGAUUUUGCAGUUCUUAUACUUUCAAAGGCAAGUACUUAUCUUUCUUCAUCUUUUUCUUUUGUUUGAUUUUUCUUUUUCUCCAACCUUAUUCUUAGCAUUUUUAGCCGUUGCCUGAGUCUAAGUUUGCCAUCUUUUCUUCAUCUCUCUCUCUCUCUCUCUCUCUCUCUCUCUAUUUUUCCUUUUUCAGUCUUAUCAGCAUUGUUUACAUAGCAUUUGGUUAAACAAUUAGUAGCAAUUUUUUUUCCUUGAAGAAGUUUGUUUUCCAAUUUCGUGGACAAUAUUCAAUGAGAUUGAUACAUAGUGUCAGAACUAUUGUACAAGUUAUCUCUGUACCAAUUUUGGCUUUCUUUCUGCGUUUAUAUCUACUGGUGGAUGCUGCACUUUUUGUUAUCUAGAAGGAUUUUUUCCUUAUAUUUUGUUUUGUGAUUGUAUGUAUUAUAUUUGCAUUAGGGCAGUGGGGAUGUACUCUACUAGAUUUCUAUUUUUUUGCUUUGUAUAUGGAAUAUUAGGGCAAAUUUCACUUUACCCCCUGUGGUUUAGCGUUUUUCACAUAACCCCUAUGGUUUCAAAAGCUAUACAUAACCCCUUAUGCUUUGGAUUAAAGUGUCAAAGUAACGGAAAUAGUCACUCGUAAUGGCGUCACCUAAAAUGUCAAAAAUACCCUUAUGUAAAGUUGAAAUUUAUGUAUUAACCAAGGGGGGUUAUGUGUAUAUUUUGAAAAUCAUAAGGGGGUUAUAUGGUAAAGUAUUAAACCAUAGGGGGGUUAUAUGGUAAAAUAUAAAAAUCAUACGGGGUUGAUGUGUCAUGUAUUUAUAAGGGUAAUUUUGACAUUUUUAGAAGUUCCGUUACGAGUGACUAUUUCCGUUACUUUGACACUUUAAUCCAAACCAUGAGGGGGUUAUGUAUAGCUUUUGAAACCAUAGGAGGGUUAUGUAAAAAAAGGGUAAACCAGGGGGGUAAAAUAUAAUUUACCCGGAAUAUUAUGAUGUUAAAGUUGGAGAUGAAAGCUGUCUUUAGAGUGUUUGACUUCAUGGAGAAAGUUCCGCUGUUCAUACUUUCCAUUUAGCCAGUAAUUCUACUUACUGUUUGGCAACUUUCUCGAUUUCAUAUUACUAGAAAACGAAUUUCUUGUUUCUUGGUCUCAGGCUUGUCACAUUCAUAUACUUUUGUUCAAGAAGUCAAAAUUUGUUAAUUGGCUAAAAGGCUAGAUCACUUCUCUGAACACUGAAUGAAGAAAUAUCUAUUGAAUUUUGUUGCUGAUGCAAACGAUUAAUAUGUACAGUUUUUGUAGAAACACCCAAUCAACAACUAACCAAACAGAGCAUAUAUGUGUGCCUCUUAGGAUGUCAUUGCUGCAAAACAGGGGUAACAUGAACAAAACUAGUAAGGAAUUUUAGAUUAGGCCGAAGGAAAUCAUCGAACUCCUAAGUUGGUCAAGAAUAUGGUGUCUUCUAUCAUAAUAAAGAGACAGAAGUAAGCCAAUCUAGUGGUAUUUUCAAUUUCUUUCCGGUAAAAUAGCGACUGCUGAUUAAUAUGACUUCUGAAUAGGUUUGUUCCAAUUAUUCUCAUCUUACGAGAUUUUCAUUUGGUAAAGUUAUCUUGAUAUAUUAGUUUUUAGAGUUUGCCAUCAAUUAAGGUUGGUAGAAGGAGCAAAACUAGUUAAGUUGGAGCAUCAUGCAUGCUCCCACACAUUUUGAUGGGUUGACGAAACUAGCACGCUUGGGAAGAACAUGAGCAACAUAUAUACCUAAUCAUAUGUUGAAUGAUAAUGAUGCUUGGCAAAUGCUUAUUUCAGAGAGUAAAGCAGGUUAAAACAGAAGAUAUAUGACAUCCCGCAAGUAUUUCUAGUGACUUUCAUAUGUAGUUCAGCCAAAAUCAUUUCAUUGGUCAAGCAUGGUACUAAUGUAGCUUAAUAUCUUAUUUCCACAUUGAGUUUGAUUGUAUUUAAGCCUUUCAAUAUUCCCUUAACUACUGAUGAAUAUUGUUUCUGAUCAAUUCUCAUUUUAUUUCCUGCCAACUGCCAAGUACCCUUGUCCUUGACAUGUAUAGCAAUAGCUAGAUUGUUACUACUGCUACCUUACCUCCUACCUUUAACAUAAUCCAAAUUGCAGAAUAGCAGCAAGGUACUGGAAAUGGAACAAAUUCUUCACACGAAAGGAGGGGAAGAUGAGGAAAGCUAUGCCAAAAAUUCAACAUUUCAAGUAAGUGAUAAAUAUCAGAUAAAGUCUGAAUGAUUCUCUCCGGCCCUCUAUAUAUAAUUGUGUGACUGAUCUCUAAAUCAGUUUCUACCCUUUGGAGAUCAGUGUUUAUGAAUGUCAACCAUGCACUCAAUCGGAGCAUUCAGGGUUUUGUCAAGCCAGCCUAGCAGAGGCAGAGUGCAUAAGAGUAGCAGAUCUGGGAUGUGCAUCGGGACCGAGUAGGGCAAAUUACAUUUUACUCCCCUGUGGUUUAGCAUUUUUUACAUAACCCCAUAUGGUUUCAAAAGUUAUACAUAACUCCCUCAUGGUUUGGAUUAAAGUGUCAAACUCCCUCAUGGUUUGGAUUAAAGAAUCACUGACAGAAAUAGUCACUCGUAACGAAACUUCUAAAAAUGUCGAAAUUACCCUAAUAAAUACAUGACACAUUAACCCCGUAUGAUUUUUAAAUUUUACUAUAUAACCCCCUUAUGGUUUUCAAAAUAUACACAUAACCCCCUUGAUUAAUAAAUAAUUUUUAACUUUAUAUAAGGGUAUUUUUGACAUUUUAGGUGCUCCAUUACGAAUGGUCAUUCCUGUCACUUUGACACUUUAAUCCAAACCAUAUGGGGUUAUGUAUAGCUUUUGAAACAAUGGGAGGGUUAUGUAAAAAACGUUAAACCACAGGGGAGUAAAAUGGAAUUUGCCCGACCGAAUACGUUGUUAACAGUUGAAAGCAUUAUAGAUAGCAUUAAUAGAGAAUGCCAUAACCUGAAUAUUCUUAAGCUACCUAAUAUUCAAGUUUUCUUAAUGAUCUCAUGUCCAAUGAUUUCAACUCCAUUUUCAAAUUAUUGCCUAGUUUUUAUCAAAAACUUGAGGAAUCAUAUGGACGUGGUUCAAGGUCAUGCUUCAUUGCAGCUAUGCCGGCUCUUUUAUGGAAGACUUUUUCCUGACAACUCCAUGCAUUUUAUACACUCUUCUUACAGCCUUCAUUGGCUUUCUCAGGUUCGCCAAUCUCCUGCUUUGUUGUUAUUAACACGCAUUGCUAUGUUGGUAUUUACGGACCCUCACUAUCUUAAUUUUCAUUACUAUCUAUCUAAACCCCUGACUGCCUGAUAUAAUUUUUACAUUAUUACUAUCUGUAAUAGUUUUUGCAAUAGUUUUGCUGUUUUUUUUUCCUGUUCGAUUAAACAUUUGUGUCCUUAUACUUGUCUGUAUCUUACUUUCAGAGUACUUGUGAUGCUACUUGAAUCCUAAUAUGUAACCUUUGUGGUAAAUUAUCUUUGAACUCUUUGAAAAGGUUUGGAUUUAGUUUCCAAACUAGCCAUCACAUAUUUUUUACGUCCUUUAAUGUUGUUCAGCAAAUCAAACUGAUUCCUUGGUGUCAAUUAGAAAAUUAAUAUUCAAGUCUUAGCCUCAAACAUAAUGAAUUCUACAAGUAUACCAAAAGAAUAUGAAAACAAUGCCAAGCCCCAAAACAUGAUACUUAUCAUGUAUUUCUCUACCUCUCUGCUGCAGGUCCCGAGUGGGUUGGUGACUUAGGAAGGGUUGCCACUGAACAAAGGCAAUAUUUACAUAGGUAAAACAAGUCCUAAGAGUGUGCAUGAUGCAUAUUUGGAUCAAUUUGACAGAGAUUUUACAAACUUCUUAAGUGUCCGUGCUGAUGAAUAGGUGUCUGGGGAACACUUAUUUGUGACCUUGGCGACUAAAAUCGAUGGUCCCGUAGCAUAUAACGUUCAGGACUUACUUGGAUGACAAUGAAUGACAUGGUUUCAGAGGUAAUGAUUCAUACACACUCAAUCUCGAUACAAUGUGUGGUGAAAUAUGAUCCCAUCUGGGUAAACUGUACAGGGACUGAUUGAGGAAAAGGCACUCGAUACUUCAACCUUCCACAUUACCGGCCUUCUUUGGAGGAGUAAAACCAUCAUUGAGAAAAAUCGUGCUCUUAAGAUAAGGUAUCUGGACACCAUUCAACUGCGAGUGAUUGGUGCGGAGGCGACAGAUUGCGGGAAGGGCUACGUUUUCAAUACAAACACCAAUGCCAAGUACAGGGCUAGGAUUGAGUGCUAUUUGUGAACCCAUCUUUCAAGCUCACUUUGGAGAUGGUAUAAUGAACGAUUUCUUUAUAAAGUUGGCUGCCAAUAUCUCACAACAUCAGGGAAUGAUGAAGAGCCCUAUCAACAGUCUGGUUCCUUCCCUCUCCAGAACAUGAAAGCGGAAGAUGUAUACUUUGGCUGGAUUAGGUUCAUGAGCAGGCUUAAGUGUGUCGUAUUGGUUUGAAAGGGGUAGAAAUAGUGUCUUAACAUAUAGAUCUAAAUAGUGCAUGAUGCAUAAAUCUGUGGACCUUUUAGAUUAAGAUUGGCUUUGAAUUUAUAUCUGAGCCUCCUUGGUGGGGUUUUUUUCCUUAAUAGUCAGAAAUAAAAUGAUGCGACUUUCCUUGGUGGGGAUUUUUGUGAUUUUAAAUUAAAAAAAUUCAAAUUUUGCCUUUCUUUCCCUUCAUAGCAACAUAGAAUGGAGGAAAAAGAAAGGCAAAUUUUGAAAAUUUUUCUAUUUAAAAUCACAAAAUCAUAGCAAACAUCAUUCUAAAAGAGAUGACUAGUUUGUUUUGUUGAAUCUUGUGAUCAUUAGUAUAAUUUUGUUGCUUAUUUAUAUUGUUAGUUCAUUAAAUGUGAACUUUUGAUUGGUAAAAUAUGUAUUAAUUGUUUCUAAUUUUUAAUUAUUUUUAUUCUUUUACUAUUACAACUUAUUACAUGCAUAAGGAAAUAUUUAUAAAAUCAAAGUUUCAUCUCUCUCCUUAAAGUACUUUUUUAAUGUUACUUUUUCUAAAUUGAUUAAUUUGUUAUUAAACUUUAAUCUCAAGAGAGGUUUGUGUAAUUUUAAAAACUUUAGAGAGGCUAGUAAAAUUGUUAGAAACCUCCGGGAGGUUUAUGAACAUCCCUAAAGAAAACCAAAUGCCUUGGACAGCCGGAAGAGGACCGGUCAGGAUUUGGUUGACGAAAUGAGGAAGGAGAAAUUUUCAGCGAGCUUUUGAAGUCAUUUGAGGCAAGUCUUGUAAAAUUCAAACUUAUUUAGCCCUAUUUUAUGAACUCGGGUUGGUUGAAACCUAAAUCAAACUCCCCAAAGCAUGGUCAAUUAAGUAGUUCAAAAGCUGAAAGCUCUAGAUCACAUUAAAACCUCAAAUCUUAUCUCUCUGCAGGCCAAGCUAGAGUAAUAUAUAUAUGCAUUCUAGCCAGCUAUCUGGGUGACAAUUUAGUAUAGUAAAGACUUUUUACAUGCCUACAAUCCAACAGCUAGCUACCGGUAUUCUUGCCGUCUCAUCUUCAUACUUUCAAUGCUUCCAUUGAUAUGAGAUCCAUAUUCAUGAGAUUGACAAAGAGCAAUCCAGACAGCUUAAACUGGAACCAAGAUCAACCAAAUUGGCUACAGGUCUCAGCCAUGCCAGCUAAAUGGUUCCUUCAUAUGUAUUCCCUGUCUCAAGCAAAUCAGAUCAGAAGAAACCUGCAAAAUACAUGAAAGGUCGAGCACUUCCAUAUGUCUGUGAAAGACAUCCAACAAAGCCUAUUAACUCGAAAGCUGCUGCUUCCUACAUGUUCCAACAAAGCCUAUUAGACACUGACUGUCUUCAAUAUUGAUACAGAUAUUGGAUAAAGAGUUGACAAUGAACAAAGAACACUGUUAACAAUUGGUAAUGGAAAGAUGAUCAUUCCAAAUAAUUACAUAGAUGAACCAAAAAUGGAAUUCAAAAAUUAGCGAGGGCAAUAAAAUUUGCAUAUUGUCAAUGUUAAUAGAAGCAUGAGAAUGAAAGCUAUAUGUCUAUGUAAAACUCGGAAGAAUAGUGAGAUGAUAAUCCUUCCUAUGCUUACAAAGUGAGGUUCUAAUCUUAGCUAGUUUGGCAUAAUAACCCAAGAAAAAGUCAUGAUUGAUAUUCAUGUAUUAAUUCAAAACAAAAAUCAACGGAUUUAGCCUCUAAGUGCUUUCUUUUGAGCAAACGAUUUCUCCUAGUACACUAAAUAUUUAGGACAAAAAUGGACUAGUAAAAGAUAACCUUUUUCAGAAAGAAGCAGCAAAAGAAUGCCGCAAUUCUAUAAAUGUCGGCAAGUAGUUUCCUUCUUCCUUGAAUUUGUUAAGAGUUAAUUGCCAACUUCAUUUCAAUGGCUACGCUGAAAAAAUGCUCAUCUAACCUAGCAGAAUAGACUUGUGGCACAAUAUCUCUAUCAAGUGGAAUGAAGGACCUUGAAAAACUUCCUUGAGUAACAUUUACUAUUGUCUUCACAGAUGUCAAUAUUUUAAAGAGUUCUUGGUAAAAUUCUUAGGUCUACUUAUCUUUCUUAGCUAAAGCACAAAAAAAAAGCUACUUGAAAGCACCUAUUUAUUGCUUAUUUAAGUUAAAAUUUCUAAUUUUCUACUAUUCAAAUAAAAAAAAAAGUUAAAACCCAACAAGGUAUUAUGGUAAUAUAUGUUAGUUUACCUUGACAAAUUCAACACCUAGCUAGGUGGACACGCCGGAAUAAUCAACUGUUAGCACAAGUGCAUCAUGAAUCUCUCUUAUUUUUGGGUGAAAGUAUAGUCCUUGUCCAAUCAGAAAGGCAUUGCAUGAUCUAGCGGCAGUGCUUCAUUGAACCUUUGAACGAGGACUUAGAACCUUGCAUGUGAAUACAUAUUCUUGCAGCACAUAAUCUUUGAAUUUUCUUCCAUCCACUACAUGCUUUGCUUUUGCUUUUGCUUUCCAGAUGAUGUUACUGCUAUCUUCAACAUCUAGCUUCCAUCACCCAAAUCUUCUCUUCUUCUAAACCAAAUUACAUUUCCAGUAGAUAGAUAAAGAAAAAAAAUCGAACCAGGCUAACAAAAAGUUUAGUCAAAUAUUACCUUCAUUUCUGCAUUCCGAGCACUACAGAACAUAAACACUUUCAGUUUUUCUACGUGGUGUUGAGAAGCCUCCAUCAAUGCUAGUGCAAAUUAAUGAGCAAAAUAACUAUAAUUGAUGACCAUCUUCAUCUGCGAAACUGCCUGCCGAGUGACAGUAAUUUCUUCCUUUUGACAUUCUCACAAAAACGACAGGGAACCAUGUUGCUUCUUUUCCAACAAGAUGAUGUCUGCUUCCUAAAUAGAUUCAGGAAAAAAAACAUCACCAUGUUACAUUACAGUAAUAUUAAGUGCAAAAUUGCCGUUGAACCAUCAAAACUUAUGAAAAUGUAUUACAAAAAUUUCUAAGAGCAAAAAUUAAGUAGAAUUACAUCGAUUAAGCAUCAAAAACGCACAUUACAUUCAGAGCAUAGCUAUUGUAUGUGAUUGAUUUGAAGUAUGGCAACAGCAACAGAAACAAGUAGGCCGUUAAAUUUAAUCCACUGAGACUACAUACCUCUUCAUUUACUCUGUCACAUAUUGCUUUCUAGAAGACUGAUCUUCACUCCUUAAGAGAACAAUUGUCUACCACAUCAACAUCCAUACAUUUUUGCUUGAAACCACUGCUUUGUACAUGUUCCAACAUUGCCCAUGAACAUUGUCUAAAAUGCUAAAUAGAUAUUUCUAUAAAUAUUUUAUCAUGAGCAAGUAAGUCCUUAUGCAAGUGGAUGGAAAAAAUCACCAAUCUCACUAGAUACCACAAAAUGAAAGGCUAAAAAACAGAGCAUUAACAAACAAAGGAAGUAAUGGAGCAAAAGUCAAUUGAAUUUGCAUAAAUUGUCUUGUGAUUCUUUCUGAAAAGAAGUGAUGAUCAAGAGCUAAAUUGUUUAACUAAAUGUUAAAGAAGAGUAAGAUAAUCUUUCCUCUCUUUCUAAACGACGUCUUAACUAGAGUUUGCAAACUAAUCUGAAGAAAAAUGAAAAUUUAUAUUCGUGUACUAGCAUUCAUAAAUUCUCUUAUUAACUUCUUUUAGCCGACUGAUUUCUCCUGACAACUAAAAUCUUUGGGCCAAACAAAAUCAGAAAAGAAUAACCGUUUUCAAAAAAGAAAUAGGUAAUGGAUGUCAAUAUCUUUUCAGUGUUGGCAAGUUGUUUCCUUCUCCUUCAGUUCUUAAGAGUAAUCAACUUCCAUUGAAUGAGCAUGCUGAAACAUGCUCAUUUAACCUAACAAGCAGAUACUUGUGAUAGAGUACCUGUAAUUAGGUGAAACCAUGUUGGAGAACUUCAUGUGAACAUUUACAUUGAUUUCCCACUUCAGUUAGCCUUCUGAAUGUUACAUAUUCCAAGUGGCUCUUAAUAAUUUUAAAUUAUUUUUAGAUUUGCUAGUCUUUCUUAGCUAAAACAUAACAAAUAGAAUGCUACAAUAACAAAACCUGUUUAUUGAUCAUUCAAACUGCAAUUUUUUUGAUUGUGACUAUAUCUUGAAGUAGACAUGUCAAAAUAAUUUAGUUAAGAACCAAGAAGGUACUUAGGGUACGUUAUUUUACUAAAACAAUUCAACACUGAGCCUGUACCUGAAUGACUAACUGUUAGCACAGUUGUAUAAUGAGUCUCUCUUGUUCUUGAGCAAAGGUAUAACCUAUUGUCCAAUUUACAAAGGCCUUGCAAGAUCUGGCGGAACCUUUGAACGAGAAUGUAGAAAUUUUUGCCGCUGCAAUUGCAGCACCAAAAACUUUGAACUGAUUCCAUCCAAAUGAACGACUGACACUUGCAAUGCAUGCUUCGUUUAUGUCAUCCAAACGAUCACCAAUGCUGUCUACAUGUCUAACUUCUUUCCAUCAAAUCUUGUCACCUAUGGAACUAAAGUAUUUAACACGUCCAGUUUUCUUCAAGCAAGUCUUGUACCUUGAUAGCUCUCCAGUACCAACUACCAUGCUCUUCUCUAAUUCUUCUCAAUCCAUACUACUUUCUACAAGCCUGGCACAGCCACUCUGUUUUCAGCAUGCUACAAGGAGAAAAGGUUCAAUAUUGAUUUAUUUUGUUAAUACUUCCAGAAAAAGAUAAAAAAACAAAAAAGAAAACCAUUGAAACAGGCCAAUAGACAUGCAGUCAACAUUUUUACCUUCAUUCACAUUCUGAGCAAUAUAUGGCAUUCUGGUGGGAAAAAUCACAGAUAACUACCUUCCAUCUUCAAAAACUGACUGAUAAGUGAAAAUAACUCCUCCCUCUUGACAUCUCAUAAAACAACACAGAACCUUGGUGUUCUUGUCAAAAAGCAUGAUCUCUACUUCCUAAACAAAUUCUGGAAAAAAAUCAUAAUAUUAUGUCACAAUGCUGCUUCAAUUAUGACAUUAAUAGAAACAUGAGCCACGGAAAGGUUUGGUCUGGUAACAAUUUAUCACUCAAAAUCCUAAACAGUCAACAAAUUAAGCUAAAUUCCAUUGAUUAACCCAUAAAGAAAAUACACUAGUGCAGAUACCACCCGACAUUUAGGCACAAUUACAUGACUCAAACAUACUUGCAAACUUGGACAAUUCCCUUGUACUUCUAGUAAGUUGGGUGGAGAAAUUUCCAAACCACAUACCUCCUCAUCUUUCUUCAAAAAUGAUUGGAAACCACAGCCUAAUGUUGCAGUUGGAGAAUGUGAAAAGUGCAAUAAGAUGCUUUAGAGGUUCCAGGCUGACUUUGCCUCGAGCACACUUUUGAGCCUUUCGCAAUGUUUUCGGCACUAUCACUGCUUCUGCUUCACUGACACUUGUGGCCUACAAUGCCAUAAUGUUAUGGAUCUGAAUUUUAAAAAUUUUAAAAGAUGAUAAGAAUUUAUAGUUUUAGCAGCAGCCUAGUUCCUCUGCAAACAAUUUCAACUUGAUCGACAUUGAGCUAAUUUUAUGGCAAACAUAAUGCAGAGUCUUACAGAGAGAAACAGUGAAUAUUAAGAACAUAUCCAUCUAUUAAAUGCCAGCGGUAAAAAAAAAUUUAACGUUCUCCCCAAAUUGCUGUUUCAUUGGUUUUAAUGUUGUUUGGAAAUAUCAGUGACAAAAAAAAUAAGAACAUACCCAUUGAAGCUGAAUGUUUACGCUUGCAAUGUCAGUCAAUUUCGUGGACAAUAGUCAGUACCAAGUUCACAUUUAGUAGUGAAUUUUACCAUGCUUAUUAAUCAUUCGAUGGUUCAGAAAAGUAGAUGAAAUCCACAAUUUCAUUGUCUUUCAAUUUGCUCGUAACUCUACUUUGUUAAUGACAAGAAUUAGUUUAUAAAUUGAAAGAGAGAGUAAUUUCACCAGAAGAAGUAGAGGAAUACGGAUAGAAUAAGAUGGUGAAGAACAGCAAUAUCCAAUAAUGAAAAGCAAUUAAUCAAAAAUUUGCAGUGAAAUCUUACCCGAUGGCUCAAAAAGAUGACUUUUAAUCAAAUUUCAAGCUUUGGAAUAUUAGAGAUCUUUGGCACUCAGAGCCGCUUUGAGGAGUGCAUCUUCGUUUUAAUAGAGGACAAUAACUAAUUUCCAGACGUCUUAAUUUGAGGCGUUCCAUGGCAUCUAAGGAGGGUAAAUAUUCAAGCUUUGGGCAACCCAACAGAAUUAGCUCACAAGAGACGCAAAAUUCCCAAGCCAAUCUGGUAAGGCCUCGAUUGCUCCGAAGUAACGUAGAGAUAGUGAUGUGAUGGUAGUCAAGCAUUGAAGCUGGUGUGGCAGAGAUUUCGUGUCACGCAUCCCAUACAAAUACACGUGCCGGAGUGUUGAUGAAGAUGCUAAUCCAGCCCAAUCAAAUUCGAUUACUGAGUAAUCUGAGAAGGGACCAAUCGACACUUCCCUUAAGCUGGUAAGAUGGCCAAAUCCACUAGGCAUCUCAGCAAUCCAGUUGGGACACCCACAUAACGAGAAGCUCUGAGAGAAGGGGUUCGUCGCAAAUCAAGGGGAAAGGAGACCAGACUGCGGCACUUGAACAAUGUCAGCUUUCGGAGAGACGUACAGGACUCGAACAUCUCCGCUGGUAAUCUUGUUAAUUCAUCGCACUCAUCGAUAGUAAAUCGCUUAAGAGACUUAAGGAGGCCUCUCUGUCCAAAUGAAUUUUUAGGAUUUGGAUGUCCAAAUGAUUUAAUUCUCGAGCAACCCUGUAUCUCCAAGUCCUCUAAAGUUUGAAAUUGAUAAAGAUCUUCUGGCAACUCCCGUAAAUUCUCACAAAAAGUGACUGUCAAUCUCUUAAGACAAGCGGCGCAACUCAUUCUUCUUAGUGUUGUUAUAUUAUGGGCAGACAUCAAUUCUACAUGCUGAAGAGUUGGAAAAAGACAGAGUCGUUCAAGCAUAGCAGUGGGUAGACUGUGACAGCCAUCAAUACUCAAGCUGCUCUCUGGUCGUUUCACUAAUUUUAGAGACUUGAUGCAUUGACCACCACGAUCCCAUAAGUCACCCCUUAAGUCAAGGGACGAGAGAUUGGUUAUAUUGCUCAAAACCUUUUCUGCCACCAAAACAUGGCAAUUCCUUUUUAUUUCCAAUACAUCAAGACUUGGGAAACGACUUGGAGUUGGAAUGGUGGUCAGCUGGGGGCAACCCCAAAUAUACAACUUUUCCAGCACGGGAAACACAUCCAUCACAUGUACUUCACCUGCGGUUGACAUCAUUUCGUGUGCGUCCUUCCACUCUUCCAAAUUUUUCAUGCCUUUAAGCCAGAGAAUUUUAAGGGCUGGAAAGAAUGUUUGUCUGCUAAUAGUGCUUGAACCUCCUGAUCCGCCGUCCUCCUCAGCACUUGUACUGUAGAAUGAAAGCCCAAUGCAUGUUGUGUUUUUCAAUCUAGUCAGAUAGAGGCGCUUGAGGAAUGGCAGCUGUCCUAGCGCAGGGAGCUUUCUGCAUCUUGUGCACUCCUCCACCCGCAACUCCACCAGUGAUGUCAAUGUCAAAUUCAUGAACCAUUGUGGAAACUGAUCACCCAUGAACUUCAAAAUUUGUAACUCUUUUAAAUUUGGGUGAGGUUGGAGGCCUUCCAACACAUCUUCAUCACAAUUAUCACUUUCUCGAUCCCUAUUGCCCCACUCAAAUACCAACCGAUACAUAUUUGGCUUUUUAGAUAGGUUCGCUAGUUCAGCAUCAUCUUUGCCAUUUACUAAUUCAAGAUUUCUGAUCUCCAAGGAGCCUCUAAGAUCUUGCAAGGUUCCAAGUUCUUGGAUACCACGACCUUCCUCUUGACGACCUAUGUUAAAGAACUCUAACGUUUGAAGACAAGUCCAUCGUCCAAUCCCGGAUGGCAUUUGGAUUUCACGUCCUGUAUCAUCAUCAUCAUCAUCAUCAUCAUCAUCAUCAUCAUCAUCAUCAUCGCAUCCUGUAUCAUCAUCAUAGUGAAGAUGUCUCAUGCUAAUCAAAUUGCUCAUCUCCUUUGGAAAACCGUCUACAAGCAUGCCAAUUCUCAGUGUUUGCAAACUAUAAAGUUUGCAAAGAGAUUCUGGCAAAGUUCUAAUCCUAGAACCUGAAAUGUCAAGUAAGUGUAAAUGUAUUAGUUUGCCAAUGGAGGUCGGCAACGCUUUGACAUCUGCUCCAAACAAUUUUAGGACAUGUAAGUGUUUGAACUUUGAUAACAUAUCAUCAGCUAUGCCACCCUUCAGAAAUAAUGUGCGAAGUGAUGCUGAUGCUUUUUCAUUGAUUCUUUCGGGUGAGUAUACCGCAAGGUAACGGUCCUGAUUGCUACCGUUACGAUUCAAAAUUGAUUUUGCAAAAUCAUGCACAAGGUCAUGCAUUUUAUACCAUGUUCCCCACUCAUUUUUUACUUCUUCCAAUAAGGAAGUUUGCAGCAAAAUUCUCAAAUACUCAUAUCCUAUUUUCUCCAUCAUUCUUUCAUUUUGGGAAUCCGGUUGAAGAAAGCCUUCAGCCAUCCAAAGCUCAACUAGUCGAUCUUGUUCCAAUCUAGUAUCUUGGUGGAAAAUUGAGCAAUAUGCAAAACAUUUCUUAACCGGUACAGGUGACAGAUGAUCAAAACUCACCUUAAUUAUUUGCUCGAUCCCACCCUGAUCUCCAUUCAAGAGACUCUCCUCCAAAAUAGAUGGCCACUCCUCUUUUCUCUUUUAGAUAACAAACCUCCGAUUAACUUUGCUGCCAGAGGUAGACCGUCACAUCUUCUUAAAACUUGGUGCCUCAUGUCUUCCAAUUCUUUUGGUACUUCUUCCCCUAAAGUUGCCCAUUUUUUAAUGAUAGACCAGCAAUCAUCAUUGCAGAGCUUUCCUAGCUCAUGGCGAGUAAAAUUGAUCUGCGGAUGUCUAGACAGAAUAAUUGCCACUUCUUGCAGACGAGUGGUAACAAGACACCAGCUCCCUUUCUUCGCAUUGAGUCCCGCCAAAGUGCUGAAAAAGUCAUUCAACAAUACUUCUUGAUCAUUCCACAAAUCAUCAAGAACAAGGAAAUAUCUUUUUGCCUUGAGUUCAUCUUGAAUUUUUUGAACUAUAACCUCCCUACGAUCCCCUUCAACCUUUCCUCCUGUUAACGAUUCAAGAAUCAUUUUGAAGACCUUCUCGAUUUUAUCUACUUCUUCAGCCACACAAACCCAAAUUUUUUUGUCAAAAUGUCCAACAAUUUGUUCAUUUUUGUAAACGGCUUUAGCUAGAGUUGUUUUGCCUAAUCCACCCAUGCCAGUUAUGGGAAUAACUGAAAUAACACUUUCAGAUUCGGUCAACAACUUCUUAACUAUUUCUGAUUCAUCCUCGUCUCUUCCUAGGACAUCUCCUCGAACGAUAGUAGAGUCGGUCUGUCGGCUUGUUGUGGCUCCAGAAGCAAUAGUAGGGAAUGCAUCUUCAACUUGGUGCUUGUAGGCCAGUCCCAAACCUUCUGCAUCCCGAUGGAUCCUUUGAAGGUUCGUGUUGAUCUCCCUGAUCAUUGAACCCAACCUCCAACGAAAACCAAUUUUAUUAAAGAAUGAAAAGCAGAAGAAUACCUUCUUUUUCGUGAGUUGAUUUCGAUACUUCACCUUCCGACGAAGAUUUUCACAGUUGAGCUCGUCCAGCACAUUGUCAGCUUUGAAAACCUCUUCUUCCAGCUGCUUGAGCCAAAUUUUCACGUCUGAGCUAUGCAUUUGCUCGUCGGCACCAGCCAAGAAGCCUCGAAUCAUUUCAGCAGAUUUGUUGAGUCUCUCCAGCUCCGUUGGGAAUUCACGAACCAGAUUAACAUGAUCAGCGGCAAGGGAAACAACCGACUGCAAUGCAACCUGAAUAGUAGCACUAACAGCAGUAUCAGCCAUUUUUUCUCGCUUGGGAUUGGAAUUAGGAUGAAAGUGUUCUGCAAUGGUGAUGGGGGGAUGCUUUCUGCGAUGAGACAAGGAAGGAUAUGGUUCAACUUUGGCAACUAAGGGCAGCAAGGAGGCUAAAACUUGCGGGAAUGAAAUUUUUCCACACAACUUUUUGCGCUUCCAAAUUUUUCCACUUUUUGCAAAGCUACACUCUAAAGAGGAGACUUCCUGGAAGUUGCCAACAAUUCGUAGCCACACCUUGUUGCCGACAAGUUGUCACAUCUGCAGCAUAUAGCCAACCUUCAAUUUGCAGCUGAGUCAACAAAGGCCUCAUUCGGUAAAUUCACACCCCACGCAAGGAAGGGUCCAUUUAUUUGUAGCAUACUUCAACGAUACUGCACAAUCCAUCGCCCAAGUUUCAACAGGAAAACAACCUCUCUUAUCUACUUUCCUGUUGAUAGUAGAAGCGCUCUUUUGGAUUUUCAGAUAAAAGGAUAGAAUCAUCAAUGGAGGGUACUGUCAAAUGCUCAGCAAAUUAUGUACCUCUGACGCCCAUAAGUUUCUUGGAGCGUUCGGCAAUUGUAUACAGAGACAGGAUUUCAGUAGUGUAUGGCGAUUUAAAGUUCACUUGGGCAGAAACUCGUGGCAGGUGCGCCAGACUCGCUUCUGCUCUUCACUCCCUCGGAAUCUCCCGUCAUGAUGUUGUAAGUUCCCAUUUAAUCCUUGAAUUUUCUGGGCUUUCUUUGUUAUUCACAAUUUACCUGCAUUUUCUUCUUGUCCAGUUCGUUUUGUUUUCUUUAAUUUCUAUGCUUCAAUUUGUUCUGUAAUUAAAAGUCCUUCAAUUUGUUCUGUUGUUGGUUAAUUAUCACGAUUGAAUCUUUUUUUUUUUGGAUUGUAAUUUUCUUCUGAUUACUUGGUUGUUGGGAGCUAGUUGGAAUGUUAAAAAUGAUUUCUGCCUUUGUUUGGAAUGAUAUCAUCUGGGUAUUUUUUGUCUCUAUCAAUCAUUGCACGGGUUGUUGAAUAGACAUGCAUUGACAUCAUUACUAUAGAUUGAUUCCAUUUCAAUGAGCCCACAAGGGACCAACUGCCCUUAUAUAUAUUUUUUUGGUGGGUCAUUUUCAUGCCUCAAUUCAGUGACUUUGUAGUAGUCGGAGGUUUAAUUAUGCAAUUUAUUGCUGUUACCCAACUCUAAAUUCUUUCAACCUUUUUCUUUUUUAUUUUGUUAAAAAAAAAAAAAGAAAGGUCGCAUGGAUAUGGUGGGGGAAGGGGAAUUUGGCACCUAAUGGAACCAGAUUACUUGAAACCUGUAAAAGACAUGCUAACCUAUCAAGAAGCUUUUGAGUGUCUGGAGCAUUAUAGUAAAGAUAUCACUAUGAAAUUGCUAACUUAUGGAAUUGUGCAUUUGAGGGUCAAUUUUGGUUUCUCAGCAGCCAUUUACGACAGAGUUUGUCGAACACUACUUUCCUAGCAAGUACGCUACAAAAAUGUUGACCUUUUGUAUUUGAAUAGGUCUAAUCUUGAUAUCUGAAUUCAGGUGCUUUUUCAAGUUUGAAUGUAGCUUCAAGCAUCUCUGGUGCUAAUAUCUGUGUGCUUUAACCAUUGGAAUGUUUUGGCAAAGUUCUUUGAAUCCUGCAGUCUAGCUAUGUCUUGCUGUUCAGUUAUGGUACAAUGAUGAGGUUCCUUUCUUGAUAAGUAUACCAGAAAUUCCAUCUGCUGGUUAAUGAUAUUCUGAUAGAGGACUUGAUGAGCUGGAAGUAAUACUUCUGCUGGCUGAAAAUAUUUCUGCUGGUUUGUGAUGAGGCUAAAAGUAAACGUUUUGUUAUAGAACAUUGAGUGCCUAGAAGAUCUUCUAAAUCAAGUCUUGUCACAUGCUUAAAUUUGAAAGUAAGGUUGAGUUUCCUAAGAUAUAGGUACACUGAAUUAGCUAGACCUGAGGGCUUGAGCUUUAUGAAAAGCUUGAAACUUUGAAUUCAACUUGUCCAUGGCCUAUUGAAUGGACUCCUCCACAUUUCUCCCUAAAAUAUUGUCAAGUUAUACACAGAGCUGAAAACAUGAACUACCUCAGAACCUUAAAACUUUUCUUUCCUUUCUUAGAUUUCCCUGUAUUUCAUGGAUUACAAGUCAAACAGUUUGCGUGCAUAUGCAACAGAAGACUGUGUUCUCUUGUCUAAACCACCUGAUGUGGUGUGUCUAGGGAUGGCAACGGGGCGGAGUUGGAGCGGGGGACCCCUCCCCCACCCCCUGCCCCGUUGCCUAUUAAUUCCCCCCGACCCCCCCCGCCUCCCACUCGCCCCGCUUCCACCUGCGGGGUUAAUAAAAUUGUCGUCGCGGGGUUAAUAAAAUUUUAUUAUAGUUAAAUUUUAAUAAAUUAUCAAAUACUAAAAUAUCAAUACAUCAUCAAGUUAUUAUUCAUUGUAAUUUUACAAUUGAAACUCAUAAAAACAAUCAAACAAAAGUUAUUUGAAUACAAUCCAACAUGAUGAAAUAAAUACAACUAAAAUAGUCAAGUUUUCACUUUUUGAACAAAUACAAUCACUGAUUCAUUAUUGUGUUUGUGCUUUUUUUCGAGAAAAAAGUGUUAUUCUAUUAAGUGUAAUUAGAAAUUUAGUAUAAAUGUAUUAGUAAAUUUAGUAUAACUAAUUAAUAAAUUAUAUUAGUAGACAUGUCUAAUUAUUCAUAUAAUGAUAAUAUCAAUUAUAUUGCAUACAUUAAUAUAUAUUGUAUAAUAUAUCUAACUAAUAAUAUCAUUAUCAUAAGUUUAUAACUAAUUAAAUUACAUAUUAUAUAUAUUUAUUUAUAUAUAUAUACUUUUUUUUUUUGCAGGUGGCGGGGCAGGGGAUGGGGCGGGGGCGGGGGGGGGAAUUUUUUCCCCUCUCAAUAUACGUCAUGAUUCAGCAAUGGUGUCGACAUUGCUAAAACACUCAGGUGCAAAAGCCAUUUUUGUUGAUUAUCAGUUACUUCAUAUUGCAGAAGGGGCAUUAGGAAUUCUACUAAAGACAAGCAGCAAGACGCCUAAAUUAGUUGUGAUUCCUGACCAAGCUAGCUCAUCUUCCAGGGUUAGUGACAUGUAUUUCAAUAAUGACAAUUUAGAGUACGAAUCUUUCUUGGCAUCAGGAAGACCAGACUUUGAGGUUAUAAGGCCACAUGAUGAGUGGGAUCCUAUUGCUUUGAAUUACACUUCAGGUACAACAUCAAAAGCCCCAAAGGUGUUGUCUACAGUCACAGAGGAGCCUACCUCAAUUCUCUGGCAGCUGCUCUUUUAAACGAAAUGCCAUCCAUGCCUGUUUAUUUGUGUACUGUUCUGAUGUUCCAUUGCAAUGGCUGGUGCCUUACUUGGGCCGUUGCAGCACAGGGCGGCACAAUGUUUGUCUAAGAAAUGUAACUGCAAAAGGGAUUUUUGAGUGCAUAGCUAAGCACCAAGUGAGCCACAUGGGUGGUGCUGGUGCACCUACAGUAUUAAAUAUGAUAAUUAAUGCACCGUCUGUUGAUCGGAGACUGCUUCUAGGAAAAGUGAUAGUGAUGACAGGCGCUGCCCCCCUCCUCCUCAUGUACUUUUUAAGAUGGAGGAGCUGGGAUUCAAUGUUACUCAUUCCUAUGGCUUGACGAAACAUAGGGUCCUGGAACAGUUUGCACUUGGAAACCUGAGUGGAAUUCACUACCACCUGAUGCAAAGGCCAAGGUCAAGGCUCGUCAAGGGUUGCACCACCUUGGCAUGGAAGAACUCGAUAUCAAAGAUCCAGAAACAAUGCAAAGCGUACCACCGGACACAAAAACAAGGGUGAGGUGAUGUUCAGAGGCAACACCAUCAUGAAUGGAUACUUUAAGGAUAGUAAAGCAACAGCUGAUGCUUUUAAAGGUGGAUGGUUUCGAAGUGGGGACGUGGGGGUGAGACACCCUGAUGGAUACAUAGAAUUAAAAGAUCGAUCCAAAGACAUUAUCAUCUCAGGAGGGGAGAAUAUUAGCUCGAUUGAGGUGGAAUCAGUGAUUUAUAGCCAUCCCGCAGUUCUGGAAGCUGCAGUUGUUGGAAGACCAGAUGAUUAUUGGGGUGAAACACCUUGUGCAUUUGUCAAAUUGAAGGAUGAUUGUAAUGCAAAUGCAGAUGAAAUUAUCAAGUAUUGCCGUGAUCAUUUGCCACAUUAUAUGGCUCCACGAACUGUUGUUUUUGGGGAAUUGCCAAAACUUCAACAGGAAAAAUACAAAAAUUUGUUCUCCGCCAGAAAGCCAAAGACAUGGGAAGUCUUUCAAGGACCAGCAGAUUAUAGCAUUUCCGUCAUCUGCAAACUAACAAUGUAAACUUCCACCACCUGGUUCUGUUUUUAAGACUGUUGUCACAUCACAAUUGAUCCCUCACCAAGAACUUGAUCCUGUUGGCUUUUUGGAGUGAAGGUGGAAUAUUGAGGAUUUGAUCCGGUACAAGGAAGUGAAAGGCAUUUAAUAUCUUCUUAAUCUAUUCCAAGGCGAGAUUAUAAUGAGUUAAAUGUCAAGACUUGAGUUGUAUUUGAUCAACCAUAUAAUGUGCUUUAGUUUAAUAUGAGAUCAGCAUUCCAUCAGAGGAGAAAUUUACGACUGUAUUAAGGCAAACUUGUCUAACAUAGUUUUGAUGCAAGCUUGGGGCAUAUUAAAGGAUUAAAUUCGUCAAUCAGUCUGAAUGAACGAAUCUUGUUUAUUCUUUGACAACAUCUACUACGAAGACUUCAACUAAAAAGUGUUAGUGUUAAAAUGAAGUUGUCUCAGGUAAUUUAAGAUUGGAGACUUGCUGCAGCAGCUUUGCCAAUGAUUUGCUAGUCAGUAAAUCAAGAAUCGAGGAGACAAUGGUCCAAUCACGUCUCAAAGGACUUCAGCUUGUUUGAAUUACAAAUGACCUAAAACAUAUAGGAAAUUCUUUCAGUUUUACAAGUAGUUAUUGAACAAACGUGCAGCGCUCUUCACAUUUUCCAGCUAGUUUAGUCGCAUAUCAUGACACAGCAGACAAAUAUCUGUUUUCUAAAUUGAUUACCAGUUUUGACAGAAGUUCAUAGAUAUAGGAACCGCUUAACUACAGAGAUUGUUCAGCGACUGGAACAUAUCAUAUAUCAUUGUUGAACAACUCAAAAGAAGAAGGGUACAGUAAUGUCAAGUUUCAUCUAUUAAACAACAAAACAAGGCUAACAAUUUCAUUAGGUUGCGAACUCUUUUAGCUUUUGAUUUGAGUGGUUUAUAUUUCAACUGCUGGAAUGCUAUUCCUCUGUUGAUUGUUGCUCUCUUUUCUGCUUGCAGUUCCAAAAUCUAGUAUUGCAUACGUUCAAUGUGGGUUGGGUUGUUCUCAUUUAUCUUCAAUGGUAUGUUCAGAUAUGUACCAUUUUAUUCUGUAGUUCAAGUUUUUGCCUCUCUAUUUCAUUCUGAACCUCCCGUUUCUCCAAUUCUUUCUUACGCUCAAUCAGCUUUUGUUUCCAUGCCUCUGGCUGCAUGCUCUGAAGAUACCUUUUCAACUGAUUAGCAUGGUGUCCUGCAUCUUUCGUAUCUCUGAUUCAUGUGAACGGAAGAAAGUGAGGGAAAAUCAAUGCAGAGUCACUAGUGAAAAGGGUGAAAGCGAAAUAACACUGCAUCAAAUCAUUAACAACUAAAGAUAUCAUUCUCUGGAUGUGAGGAAUGAGUACACACUUUCAUUAUGCAAUCGACCCAUCUCAUCCUUUCGAGUCAUCAAAUCGAAUGAGAGUAUAAUAGUUUCAUUGUAUUUACGCUCACAAACCCUGAGGGACCUGCUGUUAUCUUGUAUUUCCUUGGUAAAAUUGUCAAUAAGCCGUGAAGUUAUUUGCUUCACUUCACUUCUGCUUCAAUAUCAGCAAUAGUCGUCAAAUCUGCCUUCUCUUGAAGAUAUUCUCCAAUUAAUUCUGAUGAAUGAUAAUCAUCAGCACAGGCAACCCAUCUAUACCACUUAUCACCCGGAAGCAUGGUUCAAAGUCUCUGCCGAGACCGAGACAACUCGGCUAAGUUGUCACCGGAACGACCCCUCUGAUAUGAUAUCGAAAUGAGAUGACUCCGAGAUACUUGAUUCACCGAGAACUCGUCUGAAAAGUCUCCGAUACGGAUAGUCUCGGCCGAAUUGGUCUGAGUCAACUCACAAAUUUACAUUUGACAAAUUUUCUUUUGUUAAUUUUGUUAAUUAUUUUUGUUCAGCAUAUUUUGAAUAUUAUUUACAAUUUUUAGAAUAUUAAAUGAUUCAAAAUUUGCGUCUCACCUUGACCGAUAUGCCAAGACUGGCGUGGAACGGUCCAGGCCGUGACCGCGACUUUGAACCAUGUUUAUCACCCGUUAUAUGCUUCAUAGUAAUCCCUCCUACCAAGAUUCUCUGCUUCAAAACUCUCUUCAAACGCCAUUGCCUGAAGACAAUCCUGUCUAGUUCUUGUUGAACUCAACUAUUGCAUACCCUGAUAAUGUUGCACAGUUCCAGAAUGGUUGCACAGUCAUUGGAUUAAACCCUUUCAUAGUCAGAUCAUUCUUAACCUCAGAGCCACAGCUUCCAACAUCUUAUCCAUUUCUAUUGUCAUCAGGAACAUUUGCAACAAAUCCCAUCCAAGGAUAUACAAAUUCUGCAUUUACAUCUGGUGUAGCAAUUGAAUGCAAAUUCAUGGUGUAGCACCUACGAUUGACCUUACGUGUACCAAAACAUUGGCAAAAUAUAAUGCAUUUGCUAUAGUUUCUGCUAUCUAACAUGAGAGGAUGACAAAAAAUUAGCAGCUCAGUCUGAAGAAAAAGGUAUAGACCAAUGAAUACAACCAAAAUCCAAAAAGAACAAUGUUCUACUUGCUGGGGUUUUAAAAAUCCCAAUAUGAGAAAAUCAAGCACAUACUUGCAUAUCACACCAAAUAAUUAAUCGGGAAAAAUUUGUACCCAAAAUGUGGUUGGGACAAAUCUAGGCCGUGGUGGAUCAUAUAUAGUAGUAUUAUUAUGGUGGUGGGCUUUAUCAAUUCUUAUUUAGCCUUGUAUUUUUGAAAAAACAAAGUUAAUCAAUGCCAAUAAAAUUACAAAAUAAUCUAAUACUUUAAUCAAAAAAAAAAGAGGAGAAAAAAAAAACCAAGACCAUUGAAAGUUGAUAUGGAACCGCAAGCAUGAGCUGACUCAACUUGCUAAACUCACUUUACCAGGCAAGUUGACUGUGAUCCAAAAAAGAUUGCCAAACUGAUUUUUGUACAUAAGUUUACGCAGGCAAUGAAGGAGUAAAUGAUACUUUUCUAACUCCGCUUGAACAAAGUCCAUGCCAAGACGCAAUUCAUUUCCAGUUUGAGUUGAUUUAUUCUGCACAUGGCUUUCAAUUGAAAAUGAUAGAAAUCUCGUAAAAUGUGGUAACUGGUUUAGGCCAAGAGACACUGGAAAUGAAAAUGAUGCUGCCUUUUCAUGUACUUUGAUCUUAUUCCUUGAUCAAUUUUAAGUUGGAGCAACUCCCAAGACUCCAUGCAAAAACAGUAGUAUGUGGUGGGGUUGUGCAUGCCCAUCUGAGGUUGGUUCCCUAAACUUGGGACCAAAAGCUACUUCCAUCUCUUCACUUUGUAAAACUUUGAUUGGUUUUAUUUUGGAAAACUAUACCUGAAAUUCAACUUCAAGAAAUCCUGCAGCUGAGUUCAAUCGAAGAUACUGCAGAAAUCUAUUCCAAUUCCUGAUAUAUUGACUGAUAUACUAUAUAUACCGACGGAAAGUAAGAUCGAAACCAUAAACCAUGUUCAGCAUCUUGCUCAGACCAUUUCCUUCUAAAUCAUGCAUCUCUUUUCAUGAGAUAGUACCUGUUUGCAUCUCAAGUUCCUGUCCCAAACUAGCUGAUCAUCCUAGUCGUAAAGAUGUACCUAUUGAGAGAUUUACAGAAUUUACUAGAACAAACACUUAAACAUAUCCCAAAAAAGGAGUAUGGAUUAAUCAAUGUUUGCAUGUAGAGUUCAAUCGAUACACAUAGCACCUGUAUAAUCUUAUCUUUGGAACCAGGAAAGGUGAAUGUCAGGUUUGACAUAAUACAUGAAUUGCAAGAUCCUUCACUAAAUAAACUUCUGAUAGCUUUACUUUUGCCGGCAUCGAUCAAACAGCUGUGAGGGUCAUGAUAUGAGGGUCGCAUCUGUACCACUUGAAUUGUGUCAUGAUUCAUGAAACCCUGGUCAGGUUCACAAGGAGACCUUACCCUAUCAAAAUGUUUUGAAUUAUGAGAGUUGCACCAGUCGCGUGAGCAGUCGAUAUUACGAGGCAGAAUCUGUGAGGUUCAUUCUCCAGCGGAAAAUAAUACCGUAUGCAGUUCAUACGACAGAAAUCCAAAGCAGUGCGUAUUCUAGUUAACUGACUAAAAUUAACACUGUACCUCAGAAGAACCCAUUCUUAGUAGUCCCUCUUCAUCUCCAAGAAGUAUGCCAAAGCAGUGUUUGACCUCCGCAAUUCAAUCAGAUGCAGGUGCCCCUUUGAAGACCGAAAGUGCAGAAUCAACCUUUUUUCACUUUCCCAUAUGUAUUGGAGUUGCCGGCAUCAUUUGAACGCACUCUUUAUCCGUAUCAAAAUGCAAAAAAGGCCCCAACUUGCUAAUCCAAUGCACAGAAUUAUUACAGAAAACACCUCUUUUAAGAUAAUGAUCCUCAUUGGUUAUGUCCAAAGCAUUACCAGCUUCUCUCCAGAUUUUGGUUUCAGAUGAGUAGAUAGAGAAGCGAUAUUGCAUUCCGACAAUUGAAACACAAACAGCUUUAUAGUACUGCGACACGUAAGGAUCAAAUGCUAUAGUCAUGGACAAUAUUCUUGAUGCCAGAGGACUCUCAAGAUCAGGCAGUUUGAUAGAUUUAUUUGUGGUGGGGUUACAAAUGUACUAUUCACAACAACAGUACUUCCCACCAGUAAAAACGCAUAAACACAGCAAGCCAUUGCAAGACCAUAUUCUGUGUAUGUCAGGAUUUGCACCAAUAAAAUUCAACGAGCGCAAUGGAUAUGCUUUUUUGUAACCUUCAAGGUAAAUGAAGGCACUUCUGGGAUUACGAGGCUCAGACAAAUGAUAGAAAAGGAAGCCAGCAACGAAAUACAUGCCAGGGUUGCCUCGGAAAUGUAGAUAGCCAAAUGCUGGAUGGGAGAUGAUAGAGAGCCAUUGCUUGGAUACACAUUUGAAAGUGAGUAGAACAUCGACUGGCAGCUUCAGUAAUACUUCCUCCAAAACUUGGUCAAUGUCGGGGAUUGACAUGGACUGUGCACUUGUCUUCAGCAAGUCAAAGAAAAUCUUAGUGCUUUCAGCUGACAACAUUGUCAAGAUAGAAGUCCUGAGUUAAGGAAAUCAAAUCUGGAUUGAAUCCAUGCAAAACAAAAUUAAUACGGGCAGAAGCUUUCUUGGCAAAAUCAAUGUAUCAAAAGACGUUUUCUUUUUCCAAUUUCUCUAUGACUGGUUAGAAAAACUACUCAUUGGAUGACACAUUACACAAUGAUUUACAGCAACAGCUAAAAUGUCAUUCUCACACAGAAUAUUCUGACAUAGCAACGUCUAGAUUCUCAGGGUAAGUAUUUGAAACCAUAAAGGAGCUUCAAACAAAAUAGAAAGAGUUAAAAUACUUAGCUUGCUUCGGCAAAAUAAGAUUCACAUGCUAAGUCACGUAGAUUGAAAAACAGACAAAAAAAAAAAAAAAAGGAAUUGGAUUCUGAUAAAGGUAUAGCUGGGAACAACCCCGGAGAUAGAAAAUUCUAUGGAGAGAGAAAGGAACAAGCUCAGAAAGAGAGAAUUCUGAUGUUAGCACGCAUGUCAACCAUCUGUCCUUUAUUUCUGCAAGCGUGAAAUAUUCACUGAUACUAACUGAAUAGAAAAUUCUAUAGAGAUUAUUACCUCUUUGUUUCCAAUUACAUGAUUGGACUUGAUAGGUUCAUUCAAGAUAAUAGAUGGUGAGUGUUUAAAAAAAUUUUGCAGAAAUAACAUUACAUUGCCCAAGUGCAUCCUAUUGUGUGGUUAUGUUUCUGCAUCUCUUCCAUAUUUCUGCAUUUCUCUAUGUUUUACCUUAAUCUAUUAAAAAGGAAAAAAACAAAAAGAGUGAGAGCCUAGAUAGCAUUUCUCUAUAUGAUAGCAACUCUAUGGCUGAACUACCCUUGAUCUUUGAUUUGUUGCCUGAACUGUUACUGAUGCAUGACCUAUUACCUAAUCUAUCCAUUAACGCAUGGUAUCACCACUCUGUCAGUUUCUCAUCCCAUCUUCAUUAGGCCCAAACAAUAAAAAGGUUAAUAAUGAGAGAACACAAUAGUUCAAUUGAAGAAUAGCUUCUAUGAUCAGGAAACCAAAGAGAGCUGAAAUUUGAUUUGACAUAACAUAUUGAAAAUUCUCUAGCAGCUAACAAAAGCCCAAACUCAACCAUAACCCCUGAUGCCUUUUCUGAUUUUCAAGCAAAAACUCUAAAACAAAUUAAAAUACAAUUUCAAGAGGCCAAAUUCAGUAUGCCAAAUUUAUAAACCUAUCUUUCAAUCAAGAAAACUGUGGAUGGCCACCAGCAAUCAACAUGUUCCUAUAGGAGGGAAAAGACAGAGCAAGAACAGGAGAGGCAGAAGGCGGAAAGGAAGGUGGGCGAGGAAAGCAUCAAAAGGAACAGAUAUCAGGCAAUAAGAAAAUGGAGUCCGGGAUAUGCCUUUGGUUUGGGCUGUAUAAAUAGAGAUAACCCUAGUGGGGGAAUCAAAAUGUUAGUGCCCAAAUUAUGAAUAAAUCCCAUAGAUUGGACUAAUGAAAGCCUUAGAUCUAUUUCCAGAAGCCUUGCAAACACCAGUCUAUCACUCUUUUUGCCCAUGCCUUAGUUCCAGACCCCCUGACAAACAACUAGUAUGCAAAAGAAACACAAAAAGAAGUCAAAUAAAUCAAGGGCUCCAUCAAAAGAGAACAAAUAUAAUCGAGAGCACCAAUAGAAAACCUCGGUCAAACUAGUCUGGUUUCUGUCAGGGUCGGUGAAUCAGAUUUGGAAAUUGGAGGGAAAUGGGAAAAGAGAGAGAAUCAAGAAUGAGAGAAAGAGAGAAAUGUAACAGAAAUUUGUUAUUACAAUCAGAUAUCCUUACCAAUCACAGAGCUCCUUAUUUAUAACCUAAUGCAACCGACUAACUAACAUUUUAUAGUAAAGCGACACCGUUUCUCUUGCAACUGCUUCAUUUAACUAGACUCACUAAAACGACGACGUAUGAUCGUUGUUCUUGACAUUGCCUCCUCCUUCAGUUUAGACUUGUCCGCAAGUCUUGAAUUCAGGAAAUUGUUGCUCCAUGAAAUCCUUAUCUUCCCAGGAUGCUUCCUCAUACUCCAAUUGUUGCCAUUUGAUCAGAUAUUGUACCACAGGCAGCCCUUCCUCAGAAUAGCUCGUCUCUUCAGAAUCAUUUCUGGCAUCAAGAGGCAUUGAUCCUGCAAAUCGAACUCUGGCAAGGUAGUGGAGACCUGCUGUGGUGGACCAAUUCUCUUCUUCAAUAGAGAAACAUGGAACACUGGGUGUAUUCUAGCUGCAGGGGGUAAUUUGAGCUUAUAAGCGACCUCUCCUAUCUUCUCUUCCACUUCAAAAGGCCCAUAGAAUUUUGCUGACAGCUUGAGGUUCUUUCGAAUGGCCAUGGUUUGCUGCCUAUGGUUGCAGCUUGAGAAACACUAAAUCCCCAACUUCGAAACUCCUCUCGGUUCUAUGCCUGUCUGUAAAAUAUUUCGUUCGUUGCUGAGCCUUGAGCAGAUGCUCCUUGAUACUGGCUGAGAUCCUCAUCCUGUCCUGGAGUGCUUGAGCUGCUGCAGGAAUGGUAGAGUCACAGUAGGGACCCAUUGGUAAGGGUAAUGCCUUGUAGCCAUAGAGGGCUUCAAAGGAAGUCACAUUCAAGCUUGAGUGAUAAGCAGAAUUGUACCAAUUCAGCCAGGGGAAGCCACUUACUCCACUGACUGGGAAAUUCUCCAGUCAUGCACCUCAAAUAAGCUUCUACACACUGGUUAACUCUUUCAGUUUGACCGUCUGUCUCUGGAUGGUAUGCAGAACUGUAACACAAUUUCACCCCCACCAAUCGAAAUAACUCCUCCAGAAGUGGCUAGUAAAGAUUUUGUCUCUAUCUGUAACUAUAGUUUCAGGCAAUCCAUGAAGCUUAUACACCUGAUCAAUGAAAACUUGUGCCACCUGCCUGGCUAAAAAGGGAUGAACCAGCAACAAGAAGUGACUGUACUUGGUGAAUCGAUCCAACCACCAGAAUAGUAUCAAAGUUUUGUGAGGGUGGUAGUUUCUCUAUGAAGUCCAUAGAGAUGUGUGUCCACGCUUGACUGGGUAUAGGAAGAGGUUGUAGAAGUCCCGGAUGCUGAAUGUGCUCAGCCUUAUUCCUCUAACAGUUAUCACGUGCCUGCACAAAUCUCCUAACAUCCUGUUUCAAUUCAGGCCAUAAAAUAUACUACUGAUCCUGUGCCAACUCACUCUCUGCCCUGAAUGGCCUCCAAUGGAAGAAGAGUGCAACGCUUCCAUGAUUUGCUCCCUGACUCCAUUACUUGACCCACAUAGAGCUUCCCUCUUACCUGAUGAUGCCAUCACUUAGUUGAUACUGGUCUGGAAAUUCAGGUUCCAAUAUCAUCUUGGCAAUUAACUCUUGACAGUGAGAGUCAUGCUCAUAGCUUUUGACUAUUUCUGUCAUCCACACUGGUUUAACAGUAGUUAAAGCCAGGCAAGUGCCUGCCUCGUUCUUCUUCCUACCUUCCAUUGCAGCUCUCCCAGAAAGUGCAUCAGCUACCAAAUUCUCACUGCCCCUUUUGUACUGAAUUUCAUAAUCCAGUCCCAGAAGCUUGGUUAACCAUUUGUGCUGUAUCGCUGUUGUCAACUUCUGAUCCAGUAAGUAUUUUAGAGAUUGAUGGCCAGUCCUGAUGAUGAAGUGGUAGCCUACUAGGUAGUGUCUCCAUUUUGUUACCGCCAUUACUAAUGCCAGCAAUUCUUUUUCAUAGGCAGACAGCCCUAAAUUCUUUGGACUCAAUGAUUUACUGAGAAAUGCAAUAGGAUGUCCCUCCUGCAUAAGCACAGCUCGAAUUCCCCCUCCACCCGCAUCAGUUUCUACCACAAAUGGCUGCUUAAAGUCAGGCAACCUGAGUACUGGAGCUGUGGACAUGACUCUUUUGAGCAAGUCAAAGGCCUCCUGAGUUGUGUCAGUCCAAAAAAAUGCAUCCUUCCUCAGUAGUUCAGUCAGUGGUCUACACAGGAUCCCAUAACCUUUAAUGAAUCGUCUGUAGUACCCUGUGAGUCCAAGAAAUCCUCUUAACUCCUUCACUGAUUUGGGUGUAGGCCAGGUCAGCAUACUGCUCACCUUGGAAGAAUCCAUGCUAACUCUUUUCUCUGAGAUGGUAUGUCCCAAAUAAUCCACUCUAGUCUGUGCAAAUGAACACUUUGAGCUUUUAGCAAACAACUGAUUCUCCCUUAGCACAGUCAACACAAGCCUUAGGUGCUGCAAGUGUAGUUCCCACGUCUUACUAUAGGUCAGGAUGUCAUCGAAGAAGACUAAAACAAAUUUUCUCAAAUAAGGUUGAAAAACUUGGUUCAUUAAGGACUGAAAAGUUACAAGAGCAUUAGUCAGCCCAAAAGGCAUGACUAAAAACUCAUAAUGGCCACAAUGAGUUUGAAAUGCUGUCUUGUACACAUCUUGAGGUUUGACCCUGAUCUGAUGGAAACCUGCAGUCAAGUCCAGCUUAGACUUAUACUUGGAUCCAGCCAGCUCAUUCAGCAGCUCGUCCACAUUUGGAAUGGGAUAGCAAUCUUUGAUGGUGAUUUCAUUCAGCUUCCUGUAGUCCACAUAGAAUCGCCAAGAGCCUUCCUUCUUCUUAACCAGUAAAACUGGUGAUGCAAAUGGACUGUUGCUGUGCCUUGCAAUUCCCUGUUGUAACAUCACUGUAACCUGCUUCUCAAUUUCAUCCUUCUGAGAAUGGGGGUAUCUAUAGGGCUUAAGCUUGAAUGGUUGAGCCCCUGACUUCAAGGGAAUUGCAUGGUCACAUGUCCUGAUAGGUGGUAAGGACACGAGCUGCUGAAAAACUUCUGAAAAUUCUUCUAGCAAAUCUUUGAUUUCCUGAGGCUGCUGCUCCUCUCUUGUCCCUUCUGAGGCUCCUGCUGGGGCCAUUUCUGCUUCCAUGUUUCUGAUAGCAAAGCAUCUCUUCUUAUAUUCUAUGAAAUGCCUAAGGUCCUUACCCCUGAUUAAAUCCAAUUCACAAUCCUCUGAACUCCCUUGUAGGUGAACUGUUUCCCCUUGAUACUCCAUAGAGAUCCUGAGGUUAUGAAAAUCAAACGUGAUGGGGCUAAAAUGAGUCAUCCAAUCCACUCCUAGCACAAUAUGCCAGCCACUCAGUUGCAUCACCUUCAAAUCAAAACCAAAUUGAUGUUGAUUGAUUUCCCAUCUGACCCUUGGGCAGAUGGCCUUGCUGGUUACACAUGUUCCAUUCCCCACAAUAACAGAGAAGGGGGAAACCAUUCUGUAAGAAAUGUCUAGAGCAAUGACCAACUCACUGUCAAUGUAGCUGUCAGAACUCCAUGUAUCCACUAGGAUUAGCACCUCCUCUCCAUCUAGAUGUCCUGUGAUUGUGAUAGUGUUUCUUUUGAGGGAUUCUGACAGUGUGUGUAAGGACAUUUCCAUAACAGUUCCUGGAUUACCAGUGUGCUCAUCUUGUUCCCCCAUUGCAUCCUCAAAUUCCGUGUCCUCUUCUUCAUCCCCAAGGAAGAAGUUUAGAUGUCCCAUUUUACACUGAUGUCCUGCCCCAUACUUCUCUCCACACUUAAAACACAGUCCAUUGUUCCUUCUGUAUUGAAUUUCCUGUGGUGAAAUUUUCCUAGUGGAAUUAUUAUCUGGAACUGUCCUUCUUGCAUUGGAAAACUUGUGCUGGUUAACAGGGGGAAUCCUAUAUAGAUUGCCUGAGUUGGUACUUGGAGGCUGACUUUUAUGCAAGCCGAACUUAUUUUCUACUAGAUUUUUCUGCACUUCCCUUCCUUGUCUAUUCUGCAACUGCAAGGAGUACUCCUGUACUUGAGCCAUUUCAUAGGCAGCAGACAGCUCUGUAGGCUUAACCAUUCUGAUGAUUGGUUUAAUUUCUUCUUUAAGUCCACUAAUAAAGCUAGACACAAAUUAUCCUUCGUCUAAUUGGGGAUUUUCAUCAACAUUAAUGGCUUGAGCUCCUCAAACUUUUCUUGAUACUCCUCCACACUCCCAACCUGCUGGAUCUUGUUAAAUUCUUCCACUAUAUCCUUACAAAUUUUGUUACCAAACCUCUUGCACAAAAAUUCCUCAAAUUCUGCCCAACCUAGGCUUGUCUGUUCCAUCUUAAGGCCUUGAAACCAUCUAUCUGCCCUCCCUUCUAAAAAACAUCUCAAUUACCCCUACCUUCUGAUUCUCAGGAAUAUGAUAGUUCAGAAAAUACUUAUUACAUUUUCUUAGCCAUUCCUGUGGAUUUUCUCCAUGAAAAAGAGGCAACUCAAGUCUAGGAGGAAGAGGUGCAUAGAUCCUACCUUCAUCUCUUCGGUUGAAGUCACCAUUGCUUUCGCCUCCCUUGUUGAUCCUAUGUUGAGUGGUGGAGUAGGUAGCAGUGGUCCUUCUCUCACUUCCUCCGCAGUGCUCUUUUCUCUGUUCAUCAUCAUCUGUAGGAAGGAGUUGAAUUUCAGCUCUAAUCCGCUCAUCGCCGCCUCCAAUUUCUCCAACUUCAUGUUGGAAUUCUCCAAUUCUGCUCUAACCUCACUACCAAAUUCAGCUCGAAAUUGCUGCUGAGAAAAGUGAAAUGCCUCCAUAGCCUCUUGCAAUCUUGCUUCCUGCUUCUUCACGUGUUCCUCCAAGGAUUUUAGGCCAGUUCCUUCCGCCAUAGGAGCUACCAAGGAUCGGUAGCUCUGAUACCACUUUGUCAGGGUCGGUGAAUCAGAUUUGGAAAUUGGAGGGAAAGGGGAAAAGAGAGAAUCAAGAAUGAGAGAAAUGUAACAGAAAUUUGUUAUUACAAUCAGAUAUCCUGACCAAUCACAGAGCUCCUUAUUUAUAACCUGAUGCAACCGACUAACUAACAUUUUAUAGUAAAGCGACACCGUUUCUCUUGCAACUGCUUCAUUUAACUAGACUCACUAAAACGACGACGUAUGAUCGUUGUUCCUGACAGUUUCUAGUCAAUUUCUUCGCUGGUUUUCACCAAGUUUCAUAGACUUUUAGUCUCCUCUGAGUUUGCAUUCGACCAGAUCGAACAUCUGAAAAUUCCUGGAUGAACCAAUUGAACCAUGCCAAAUUUGUCUUCUUUUUCUGCUGCAUUAGGGAAGCUAAAGAACAAGUUUUACUUUAAAAAUAUGUCUGGUGACCUUAAAAUCUUAUUGAGGUUCAAUUACUUACUGAAGGGAUUAUGAUGACGAACCAGGCUCUAAAUAUAAAUGUUCAUAAUAAAAAAUAUAGACACUGCAAGAGAAAGAGAGACUGAGAUAUUGUCCAUGCAGGUCUGUGGUAAAUUUAUAGCUCUGUCUUUUAGAAAAAUCAAAAGACGUCAAAAAGUUGAAAAUAUGAAGAAAAAGAAAAAGCAGCAAAAGGAAAAGAUCUUAGAAUUGUCAAAUGAACAGCAUCACCUACUCAAGUACAAAAUAGUUGAAGAGGCAAUUUUGGCAUGUUUUAGGAAUCACUCAACAGCUGCUCACAAAUAGGCCUACUCAAUAGUGCUUCAGAGACAAUUUCAAAUAUAUGGCUUUAUUGGGUAUUGUUUGGAACCCAAGUUUUUUAUCAAGUUUGUCUGCUAUAAGUUUUUUAAAAACAUUAACUACAGUAACCUUAAAAAAUUUCUCAAAAUAUUCAAAAAUUUACACAUUUCAAAAAAUUAAAAAAAAAACUUUUACAAUAAGUUACAGUAAAGUUUUAGACAGACUUCUAAAAAACUCACCUUUCAAAUAGGGAUGAAAAUGUACUUCUAAAGAAAGGUGCUUAGUCAUCCGCAUAGAUCACCUCUUUGGAGACAACAUUGGAACAUCUUAUGUUUCACUUCUCAUGGCUAUAUACUCUCAUUCACAGAAAGAAAACAAGAUUGACCAAGAAAGUAGCAUGUCGAAUUCUCUCCAGAGGUGGAUUUGCAUAUUUACCUUAUAUAUGAAGCUUCAUAUUAAGAUACGAAUGAUGUUGAAAACUCAAAAUCAGUGCAUAGUAUGUUAUGCUCUUUCUUGAUAAAUAUCUAGGAAAAAAAACUAUUUUCCAAAUUGUUUUGUCAAAUAAAAUCAAAUUUCUCGACACAAGGGGCUAAUUACUCAGAUUAUAGUCGAGAAAAAAAAAGUUCGGACAUGUACCGAUCUGACAAGGUCGUGGUAUAAAUCUAUGGGUACCGGGCCAUGUCAGCCCGGCACCCAAACUUCAUCCAAUUUUUUUUUUACUUCUGACACCGCUGCCGAGCUCACAACGGCAGCAAAAAAAAAAAUUUUCAAAAAGGCUGUCGGCAACCGGGCUGACAAUGCCCGGUAGCCGACAAGGUCUGAUGGAGCCCGGCAGCCAGUCAAAUUGUUUUAAAAAAAAAAGAGAAAAUGACCUGUUUCAUCCCUCACAUUUCGUAAAAAUAUUCUUUUUGUCCCUCACAUUUAAAACGAAGCAAAUUGGUCCUUCACAUUUAAAAACCGAAACUUUUACAUCCUAGAAAUAAACUCUCAGUUGUGAAUCAAACCAUCUAGCAACCCGGUUACAAAUUCUAGAGGUAGAAUUGGUAGAUCACUCACAAAACAUAUUUCCAACAAAUAAAUUAAAAUAAUUAAAAAAUCUUAAUUAAAACCCAUUUGCUUUUUCAAAAGAACAAAAUAGUGCUAAAGCUCUCAAGCACUAAACCCUUAGACAAAUUCCUCAGUUUUGUUGCACUAAGGGUUUAGUGCUUGAGAGCUUUAGCACAAUUUCGUUCUUUUGAAGAAACAAAUGAGUUUUAAUUAAGAUUUUUUAAUUACUUUAAUUUAUUUGUUAGAAAUAUGUUUUUGCGAGUAAUCUACCAAUUCUACCCCAAAAUUUGUAACCGGGUUGUUAGAUGGUUUGAUUCACAACUGAGAGUUUAUUUCUAGGAUGUAAAAGCUUCAGUUUUUAAAUGUGAAGGACCAAUUUGCUUCGUUUUAAAUGUGAGGGACAAAAAGAAUAUUUUUACGAAAUGUGAGGGAUGAAACAGGUCAUUUUCCCUAAAAAAAAAUGCAAAGUGGUCAGCAGGCUUGUGGACCAAAAAAAAAAAAUUGGCUGGCAGCUCCCGUGAAGCAAAAAAACUGAACGAAAAGAAAAAGUUAGUACGUAGCAGAUCAUUUCCAGUGCAUGUUUUACAAUUUCAAAUAUUUGAAUAUGGGGAUUUAGCGCUAUUUUCAUCUUUUAUUAUUAUAAUGCUUAUCGCUAUUGGGUGUAUUCACAAUUUGACAAUGUCAUGUUAUGCAUUUUUUCUUCUUUUCAUUUUUUUGCCUAUUUUGUUUUUAUAUUGCACAACAAAUUUAUAUUUAUAAAAUUAUGUAGUCUAUUAAAAAUUAUAUAACAAUUUUAACAAAUAAUUUCUCAACAAUUUGAUAUGCAUCUUAUUGUAAAAUGAAUGAGAUUUUUUUGUUUAAAACAGCCUUUGUUUAGUUUAACAUCGUAUAGAAGUAAUUAUUGAUUUAACAAAUCUAUUUUCAUCUAGUUCUAUUGUUCGAAUUUUGAAAUAUAAUUUAAUUAACUCCAAAAAUAGUCGGAUUUAGUACGUUAGGCGGCGUAAAUUUUGGAUAAAAAAUAAGGGCGAAAUUGUUGUAUUGGAAAAUGGAUGAAAUUUUCAAAAUUAUUUAGUGAAUUUUGUAUAUGUCAAAACAAAUAUUGUGGUACAUUUUAUUUUUUAAUUGAAUUUCAUAUUUGAAAUAAUUGAGGCGUAAAUAUAAAAGAAAAUUUAGUGCAAAAAAGAAAAUUUUAAUUUGAGUAUACAGUAACUUUAGUUGUAAAUAGUAUUAGGAUAUGAGUUUCAAUCGGUUAUGAUCAGGUAUUAUAAUUAUAAUAAUAAAUAAAGGUGAUUACUAAUAUAAAGUACUUAUAUGAAUUUUAAAAAAAUUUCUUGCCAUUUCAUCUUGUCUUUCCUUCAUAUUAAAUUAAAUAUUUCAAUAAUACAAUUUAAUGUAUUUAUAUUUAUGUUCAUCUUAAAUUGAUAAUUUUAUUGAAUAAUUUAAAUAUUUAUAAAAUCUUUAUUUCAAUUGAAACUUAAUAGACAACUAGUUAAAAUGCCAAAAAAAGAAAAAAUAUUAUUCAUUCGACUCAAUGUCAUAUAGUUACUUAUAUUAUAAUAGAAUAUUUAAUUAACUAUUUUAAUUUAUCAAAUAUAAGUAUUGGACAUUAGAUGAUGAAUAAAUUUUUAAGAGAACUUUUAUUGUGAUUUUAAAAUAAAUAUAAUAUUUUCACCCAUGCAUAAUUCGCUUUCUCGGUAUCCGAAUAUACUUCUUCGUCCGUCUCCACAUAGUAGAGUUGGCCUUCUUGCAUUGCUUCUGCUUCUUAUGCGCAAAAAAGUGAACUUUCCACCGUAGACGUAACCUAUUGUUCAAUUUAGAUAGUGGAGCGUUAGCAAAUUUUAAUUUUUUAAAAAAAUUUGUUGUGCAAUAUAAAAACAAAAUAGGCAAAAAAAGAAAAAAAUGCAUAACUAAUUAUAUACAACUAAUUGAUGGACCGCUUUGCAUAAGUCGAUUAUUUCAAUGCAUCCCCAAUAUAGAUGUCAAAAUAGACAUCUUGUUAAUAAGUUGCCUUUGUUAAACCGCUUUGCAUUUUUUUAAAAAACAAUUUGACACUUUUUAAACAAUUUGACAGCUUUGUUCAACCGCUCUGCCUGGCAGCCAUCAGACCUUGUCGACAGCUUUUUUUAAAAAAAAAUUUGACAUAGCCCGGCAGCGAUGUCAGAAGUCAAAAAAAAAAAAAAUUGGAUGAAGUUUGGGUGCCGGGCUGACACGGCCCGGUACCCAUAGAUUUGUACUACAACUCGGCCCGGUACCCAUAGAUUUGUACUACAACCUUGUCAGAUCGGUACAUGUCCGAAUUUUUUUUUCCUCGACCAUAAUCUGAGUAAUUCGCCAGCACAAGGGGACAUUGAUUCCAUAUUUGGAAAAAUAUAUGCAUUAGGACCCUAUCCCAUGCUAUGCUAUCAAUGCAAUGUUUUGAAAACCGGACUGGACCGGCCGGUUCGAUCGAUCGAAUCACGAACCGGUCAUGUCUCCGGUCCGAUUCACUACUAAAGUUGACUUGUUAUAAGAACCGGUCAAAACCGUUAGAACCGUUCAAUCCGGAUUGACCCAUUGAACCACAGUUUUUUAUUUUUUCCUAAUUUUUUAAAUCAAAUUUAAAAGUCUUGAAAGGUGAAAACAUCUUCCCAACUUUUCUUUCUAACCCUAAUUUCUAAUGACGGCUGCCGCACACUCUCUCUCAUUCUUAAUCUCUUCUCCAGUUCUCUUUCUUCUUGUUUCAAAUUAAGAAUCCAAAUUUUCAAUGGUAUCGGCUUCUUAAAUAUGGGGUUUCUCAACUUCAAUUCUCUAUUUUUUCUGCAAAAGAUUGGAUUAAUCUCACAAAUCUUAACUCUCAAGACAUCGUCCAGGUUAGUUUCAUUUUUUUUUUCAUUUAUUUGUUUAUUACUUGGCGUUUGACAGAUUGUAUGAUUCUUGAGGUCUGCAAUUUUUGGUAGUAGUUUUAUUUUUAUUGUUCGAUUUUUCUUUGAAGAGCAAUUUGUCUAUUUCAGUUUUUUUUCUUUUUCUUUUGUGGGUAAGAAUUUGAAUGCCAUAAGAGAAAACCAGUGCAGAAAGCUAAUUUACUUGAUCAACUAUUAUGUCACAAAACUCAGGAUUCAAUUCCUAUUUUUGGUAUUGUAUAUGUACUUCACUUUUGUUGAUUAUGUACUGGAAAAUUCCUGAAGUACUUUGCACUAAAAUAUAUAAUUUAUUUUGGCUCUUAUCCAUUAGGAAUACUCAAGAACAUAAUCUUUAUACAGGCAGACAAACGAUGUUAGGGACACUAUUUAGUGGAUUUUCCAAAAUAUUGCAACAGGCUACACUUGCAAUUUUUGUGCCUAUUCCAGAGCAUGAUGAUCAAAUUGCGUGGCUUGAAAAUUCUUCAGGGAUGUUUACCGUAAAGGAUGCUAUGAAAACAUUCCGGCCCGAGGUACCGCUGUACAUUGAAGUAGUUUAGUAUGGUAUGAAAAUCACAUCCUAGACAUGUUUUUAUAUUGUGUUUGGUAUGUAACAAAACUUAGUACGCUGGAUUUGAGGAAAUGCAGUGUUUUCAGUUGGGGAAAAAUUCCUAGAACUCAUGAAAAUUGGAUUCUACUUGUAGAGUGGGGCUUAGAUUUUAAGCAAUUUUGUUGGUUUGCGAUGCUUAGCGUUAUUUUGCUGAUGUAGUUUGAGGAUUUCCUCGUGUAUGUGCUACAUUGCAAAUCAUUAAUGAAUUCUUUCUGUUUUGCUAAAAAAAAUUAUUUUUUUGAUAGGUAUAACUGAGAUGAAUUAUUUGCUUGAUUUUACAAUUUAAAAAAUUAAUCUAUGAAAGUCAAGUGGUUUGAAAUAUUUAACUUUUUAGCAAGUGAUGUCUUGAAUUAGUCUAUGAGAUUUCUU